UCGUUUAUUAAUAUUUUAAACCGAUUAAUCGUACGGUACCCUACAAUACCGAUAACAAUAAAACAAUUUGGCUUUGUAUCAUAAACUAAAGUGAACGAAGGAGUCAUCGGUCCAAUACAGUUUUGAGCAGAAUCAUAACAAGCCUGGAAGUAAUCGACGCCGUUAAGCAAAACAUUACUGGCAGCUAAACAACCAGUUGAGCGAAGAGUACCAUACAGUCAACAUUGCCCCACGCUUCCAAUAAUAAAUAAUUAAAAUAAAAAAAUCAUUUAAUCGUAUAUUAAUAAUUAUUAUUAAUAUAAUAGUAAUCAUACAACAAAAAUUGGAUUGGAGGUUGAACAAAUUAUUUUUUAUUUUUAUUUAGCCAAAUAUAAAAUGUUAUGUGAAAAUAGUUGAUUACGGGAUGUGAUAUUGAAGAAAGGAAAUGUAUCGCAGGAUUAUUUUCGUAUUUGCGAUCUCCAUCGUCAUUACUUUACAGACGACAGAUUUCCAAGAUAACCUAAUAAAUGGCUACCGAGCACUGAUUGCGGACAUUCAGGUCCGAACACAGAAAUCCCGAGAGGAUAUGGACACGCUCGUGUCCCAAAUAAAACUACUAAUGAAGAAUGAGGCAGAUAAAGCCAUUAACUACAUGACUGUAUACCUCGAACAAAUCUCUUUGUACUUCCAGGUGAUAAUACACGACCGUAAGCCUCGGAACGGAACGUAUUGCAAAGAGAGCAUAGUUAAGCUGCUCGGAGAAAAUUUGCAGCUGGCGGACGAAAAUGUCACAUUAUGCCUGGCGCUCGGCUACCAAAGAGUACAGAGAUUACCAGAAAAACUCCAAGUUCACUUCGAAACAUUGGAGAAUUUGAAGAAGUAUUCAGCUUCAAAGUUAUUUGAAUGCCAGAAACAACAGCAAGUUGGUGGAAACUGUUCCCAUGAGAGUCAAGAUCUUGAGAGGACUGUUUUCUUAUACGAAACAUCACCGUUCCCGGUGGUGAUGGCCGAAAUAGCAAUCCACGGCUUCAAAGAAGUAUCAGACCUAAGUGUGUGUCUCAAAGAUAUCAUCUCUAGAAUGAUGACACACUCCGUCAAGGUCAUCGGAGACUUCAACAGAUGCAUCCACAACAUAGAAAUGCCAAAACUGAAAUAUUUACUCAAGUUUAUGAAGAAAUAUGCUUGAUAUGUUGCGUACUUGAUUCCGAUAGGGUUGCCCAUUUUUAUGUUACUCAAUGAUAUAUGGCUCAAAUUAAAAACUGAUCUAAAUCCAAAAAAAUCAC